UGUAAUGACCCUGAUGUAUAAGUGC
rnacentral:piRNA from 1 species